AAACACUUUACAACUAACCUCGCGUUUCUCAUAGUGUGACUCUUACGUGUUCGGUGUAUCGUUUGAUACAGAUACAUUUGUUUCGUAGACCAUAUCUUCUUUGUUAGAGAAGAAACUACUGCUCGCUGUGUGGCAGUCUUCCGUCGUGGGAAUUGCGAAGUGGUGUUUGUUAUCCAGAGAGGUCGACGUGAAGCUAUUGUAAUGGGUCUCUUUCAGGGGAAAUUAGUUCAGACUACUAUCCCGCCAUGGAUUGGAUUCUAGUAUGAACUAGGUGGUUCUGAUGCUCCACGAAGAUGCCAGUGAAUCCGGGUUUUAAGGGACCAGUCAAAAUUUCGCCUAUUGUGAGAUAAAGCACAGUGAAAACCCCUGAACUCGGAUAACUUAUGUACCUGCACAAGUGGAGAAAUUAAUUCUUGCCCAAGAAGAUUGGUUCAAGGCAGAGGUGAGGGUUAUCAGUGUUAACCUUUGAAUCUGCCUAACAAUCUCCUCUUCGCCUCCACCCCUACAGGGGCGGUGCCCCUGAUAGGGGUGGAGGGCCCUUCCAUAUUCUAUUUCAGUUAAUCUUAAGACUUAUGGAUAGGUGUAUGUGAGGUUUUUAUACCUGUUUUUGCGUUUAAUGUAAUUGUAUUUGACUUGGUCCUUUAUCAAUAACGGACCUGUAAGACCGUUUUUAAUUAUUUAACGUGAUUGCUUAAUUUUAAAUCUUAAAUUAGUGUUAGAUUUUAGAAUUUAUAUUAAAACCUAUUUUUUCCUUAUUCCUAAAACAUCACUUAAUUGGUCUAGAUUUCAAAAUAGUCAUACUCUUCAAAAUAGUUACAUUACUAUUUAUAAGCGGUGACUUAAAUGCUUUUUCAACCGAAUUUAGUCUUAAAAUUUUCAAAAGUUUUGUAUAUUUAAAAGUUAACGUAAAUGCUUUGUAACUUUUAGGUACUUUUAUUUUAAAAUCAAUUUUAUAAGUAACGUAAUUGCCUUAAUUACAAUUACAACUUUCAUUUUCAACUUAAUCUUAACUCAAAUUUGUAAACUACGUAACUAAACUUAUUCAUUGAAGUUCACCCAUAAGUUUGCUGCAAAUAUUUUUACAUGGAAAAUUUUGAAUUUUGAUUCAAUCCUGUUGUUAGAAGUUUCUUUGGUCUGUACAGUAAGGACGUUGUAUGCUGUGGCAUAAAUGUUAGUUUCCAUUGUAUUCAACUUCAGUUGAUUAUUAAACUUAUGUAAGUUUAUAGCCCUGUUUAUAGUUCAAUUUCAAACUUCUUAAUUACCUUAAAUUUCAGUUUUGAACCAUUGUAAAUUAAUUUAUAACUCCUACUGUUUAUAGCUCCAGUUUGUAAUAACUUCAGUUUUGAAAUAAUUUGUAUAGCUAAAUUUUGUUCAAAUUUGUAAAAUAUCAUUGGUGGAGACUUAAAAUCAUAAAAAAAAAAAAAGUUCAAAUAAAAUAUACAAACCCCUAUUUAACUAAAUGUUUCUACUUCAGUGCUGUUACUGAAGGUUUUUAUUUGGGUAUCCGACCUGUUUAAGAGCACUGGUUUGGCGGUUUUAUUUUGGAAAGUUGUAUUAUAAGUGUAUUUAUCUUUAAAAGAAAGUAAGGUUCGGAUCUCUUAUAAAAUUUGUUCAACGAAGUUUGUCCGUUGAACUAUAUUUGUCAUUGUAUUGCCCGUGCAACAUUUUCUGCAGCUUUUUCUUUUUGCAGGACAGGUUUGCUGAAAACUAAUUAAGGCAAUUUAAGUAUGUUCAUGUUGUUGAAUUUUUGGUUUUUUUCCCUUGUUUUAAAAACCGGUGAAAUUCGACCCUGGUAUUACUGAGUGCUCUGCUUUACCUCAAAAGGUUCAGUGCCACCUCGGUGGCAGCUAGUUUUGAUUCUCGGGCAUUUCAUU